rnacentral:snoRNA from 1 species
AUCCUUUUGUAGUUCAUGAGUGUGAUGAUUGGGUGUUCGCAUGCCUGUGUGACAUGUGCCUCCCUUGAACCUUGUUACGACAUCGGCACAUUACCCGUCUGACA